rnacentral:rRNA from 1 species
CUUUACGGCCACACCGCCUGGUUCACGCCGGAUCUCGGAAGCUAAGAUAGGUUGGGCCUGGUUAGUACUUGGAUGGGAGACCGCCUAGGAAUACCAGGUGCUGUAAGCC